rnacentral:rRNA from 1 species
GGCGGCGUGCUUAACACAUGCAAGUCGAACGGAAAGGCCCUGCUUUUGUGGGGUGCUCGAGUGGCGAACGGGUGAGUAACACGUGAGUAACCUGCCCUUGACUUUGGGAUAACUUCAGGAAACUGGGGCUAAUACCGGAUAGGAGCUCCUGCUGCAUGGUGGGGGUUGGAAAGUUUCGGCGGUUGGGGAUGGACUCGCGGCUUAUCAGCUUGUUGGUGGGGUAGUGGCUUACCAAGGCUUUGACGGGUAGCCGGCCUGAGAGGGUGACCGGCCACAUUGGGACUGAGAUACGGCCCAGACUCCUACGGGAGGCAGCAGUGGGGAAUAUUGCACAAUGGGCGGAAGCCUGAUGCAGCAACGCCGCGUGCGGGAUGACGGCCUUCGGGUUGUAAACCGCUUUCGCCUGUGACGAAGCGUGAGUGACGGUAAUGGGUAAAGAAGCACCGGCUAACUACGUGCCAGCAGCCGCGGUGAUACGUAGGGUGCGAGCGUUGUCCGGAUUUAUUGGGCGUAAAGGGCUCGUAGGUGGUUGAUCGCGUCGGAAGUGUAAUCUUGGGGCUUAACCCUGAGCGUGCUUUCGAUACGGGUUGACUUGAGGAAGGUAGGGGAGAAUGGAAUUCCUGGUGGAGCGGUGGAAUGCGCAGAUAUCAGGAGGAACACCAGUGGCGAAGGCGGUUCUCUGGGCCUUUCCUGACGCUGAGGAGCGAAAGCGUGGGGAGCGAACAGGCUUAGAUACCCUGGUAGUCCACGCUGUAAACGGUGGGUACUAGGUGUGGGGUCCAUUCCACGGGUUCCGUGCCGUAGCUAACGCUUUAAGUACCCCGCCUGGGGAGUACGGCCGCAAGGCUAAAACUCAAAGGAAUUGACGGGGCCCCGCACAAGCGGCGGAGCAUGCGGAUUAAUUCGAUGCAACGCGUAGAACCUUACCUGGGUUUGACAUGGAUCGGGAGCGCUCAGAGAUGGGUGUGCCUCUUUUGGGGUCGGUUCACAGGUGGUGCAUGGCUGUCGUCAGCUCGUGUCGUGAGAUGUUGGGUUAAGUCCCGCAACGAGCGCAACCCUUGUUCACUGUUGCCAGCACGUUAUGGUGGGGACUCAGUGGAGACCGCCGGGGUCAACUCGGAGGAAGGUGGGGAUGACGUCAAGUCAUCAUGCCCCUUAUGUCCAGGGCUUCACGCAUGCUACAAUGGCUGGUACAGAGAGUGGCGAGCCUGUGAGGGUGAGCGAAUCUCGGAAAGCCGGUCUCAGUUCGGAUUGGGGUCUGCAACUCGACCUCAUGAAGUCGGAGUCGCUAGUAAUCGCAGAUCAGCAACGCUGCGGUGAAUACGUUCCCGGGGCUUGUACACACCGCCCGUCAAGUCAUGAAAGUUGGUAACACCCGAAGCCGGUGGCCUAACCGUUGUGGGGGAGCCGUCGAAGGUGGGACUGGUGAUUAGGACUAAGUA